GAUGAACGCUGGCGGCGUGCCUAAUACAUGCAAGUCGAGCGAACAGACGAGGAGCUUGAUCCUCUGACGUUAGCGGCGGAAGGGUGAGUAACACGUGGAUAACCUACCUAUAAGACUGGGAUAACUUCGGGAAACCGGAGCUAAUACCGGAUAAUAUAUUGAACCGCAUGGUUCAAUAGUGAAGGACGGUUUUGCGGUCAAUUAUAGAUGGAUCCGCGCCGCAUUAGAUGGUGGGUAAGGUAACGGCUUACCAAGGCAAGGAUGCGUAUCCCACAUCAGAGAGUGAUCGGCCACACUGGAAUUGAGACACCGUCCAUACUCCUACGGAUGCACGGCGUAGUGAAACUGCUGCUAUGGGCGAACGCAUAACGGAGCAACGCAUGCUUAGGGAUGAUGGUCUUAGGAUCGUUAAACUCUGCUAGUAGGGAAGCACAAUUGUGUAAGCAACUAUUCUCAUCUUGCCGGUACCUAGUGAGAUAGCCACGGCUAACCACGUG
rnacentral:rRNA from 1 species